UGAGCAACCUGCCCUUGACUCUGGAAUAACAGCUGGAAACAGCUGCUAAUACCGGAUAUGACCUCCGAUGGCAUCAUCUGGAGGUGGAAAGCUCCGGCGGUCAAGGAUGGGCUCGCGGCCUAUCAGCUUGUUGGUGAGGUAACGGCUCACCAAGGCUUCGACGGGUAGCUGGUCUGAGAGGAUGGCCAGCCACAGUUGGGACUGGANACCGAGCCCAACG
rnacentral:rRNA from 1 species